UUGCACUGAAAAACAAAAAUAAUUUUCUCUGUAGUAGUGGAGUAACUCUGUGUUUUCUAUCUCACUUUAAAAAGCAUUUAAACAUCUGUACCUGAACUAUAAUCACUAUUUUAACUGAUAUUUGGAAUCUGGAGAACUCACUGAAGUUGAUGAUUUACUUUAGUAAGCAAAAUAUAGGCAAGUGAUCUUUGAUGGGAAUCUACCAUAACUAUCAAAACAAACUGCUCACUAAAUAAAUCAGUAACUGGCUGGCCAGCAGACUAAUCCACGCACAAGCUCUCCGGGAGACUAACAGGGAGCAAAACUAAAGUACAGAAACUACUUAAAGGCUACUAAUCCUGUUACAUUCACAUCCCAAAAUUCUAGGCACAGUUUGAAUACUCCUCCUUUAAGCAAAACUGUACAGCCUUGUUAAUUUUAGUAAAGUUCCUGAUGUAGAAUCCUCCACAAAACCCUCUCGUUUCUCUAGCCUGUCCUACACAAAACACCAAAGAGCUGCUUUUGGUGCAUAUCCAUAAGCCGACAAAAAUUACUAAGGAGACAGAAGGAAUACAACAAUGUUUAUUUUCUCCUUGAGGCAUGAACAUGCCAAGUUAAGGGAAGUCACGUAGGCAUGUCCACAUAUUACCUCACCCUACUUGUGUCUCUAACAUCUUGGGACCAACACAGUUACAACACCACUCCAUGCAUAUAAGUCAUUAGUGGCCUCAAAGAAAAACUGCACUCAACUAGGCUAAGCUAAAUGAAAAGGAAAAAUACUCAUACUUUUUAUUGAUAUAGAUAUAUAUUUUACUGUUUUUAAAUUUAAAUAUUUUUGGCUUCUUGAACCUGAGACAGGAUUGAAGAACCUCAAAACCAAGGCAGUAUCUCUCCAUUUUAUGAACAUGCUACUGGAACCGUAAGAUAUCCAUAGGAGACAUCUCAAAUAAACAAAGCCUAUUAGAAACAUUAUCUCCAACCUCUCAGUUUUACUCUUAGAACCUUCUAAGCAAAAUGUUUAAGCACAACCAUCACUUAUGAAAGAUUACUAGCUGCCUUAAUCUUAAACAAUAGACCAGCUAUAAAAGGAUCCCUAAUAUACGAUCAUAGCAACAGGCCAAACACUAACCAAGCGUCCAUCCACCAAUGAGUGAUGCACAUAACUCCCUAAUAGGCCAGUGGGAACACCAUAUGUGAAAAAACCCACAACUUUUUAAGUCAGUCAUGGUUUCUUCUCAGCUUGAGAAGGCAAGCAGCUUGUAAGAGAGACCAUAAUUUGAUAUGCUUUACAGAGCAGAAUGGAAGCAAGUUCUAUUGUGAUUGUGUCCAACUACAAAAGACCAACCCACUUUUUUCCUGCAUACAACACAAUCAAGAAUUAAGAGCAACAAUGAAAACAAUUCAGUGAUGGCUUCCCAAAUCUGCAGAGACCCCAUCCUCGUGCCUCUGUUAAUAUUCAGUUUCCCCAAACUGCAGCAAUAUAAAGACUGACCAGAAUCUUGUUUGAUUUCUCCACAGCUAUUCAUUACACCCAUGAACAUAGAAAUUAUAACAAGAAUUGCCUUGUUUAGUGCUCUUUCUGCUUGGAAAAACUAUCAGUGGUAGCAGUCAGACUCUCUCAUUGAGCUAUUCACUCUGGAAAAAGACAAAAAACAGAGUCCAGGCCGGGGAGGAAAGGAGGACAAAGUGGUACAAAGGGAGAACGCCUCCCUCUCACAGAGGUCAGGAGACGAGAGGUGGGGUAAAGUAGAAGACACUCUGUUCCCCAGAAAUUCCAGCUACUGGGAAUUGAGCAGAGGGGCGGUUCUGACACAGAGUCAAAGCAGCCAGGAGCCUUUGGGGUGGGAGGUGGAGUAAGAAUACUCCCUUUUUCCAGCACCCAGAGAGGACUGCAGGGUUGAGGUAAACUGGACUCAGCAGGAGUGUUGCAGGAGACAGGACGUUCUUCAGGACCUUCUGCAUGACAAUAUCCUACAGUUCAGCCAGUCACAAUCCUUCUCAAGGUCUAAGAUGCUUGUCCCUGAGGGAUGUGGCUUGAUUCCUUCCCAGGCAUUUCUUGAAAUAGCUGAACUGCUUUGCUACUCUGAAAAACGCUACACAAAAAUUUAGCUCUAAGAGCUGGAUAUAGCAGAAAUUACUUUGGGGAUAACAAGUAAGUGGAAGAGUCCACUUCCUUUGUACACCAUUGGCAUGCAAACUUGAUUAAAGCCAGUCUCCAUUACAGAAGUUUUUUUAAUUAAAAAUAGCAAUAAUUCAAAGGAGGCACUCAGAUAAAAUGCUCCAAAAAAGAGGUUUUUCAACUGAAAAACCCCCAUCGAAGCUGUCAUGGUGCAGCACUACUAAAGUGGCAUGUGUAGUGACCAGCAAACGCUCUUACACUGGUUGCAGUUAGAUUAGUUGCAGUUAGACAAGAACUGACUUUUGGAUACACUCAGGGAUCACACAUCGUCUGUUCUGCGGUGGCAGCUCAUGCCACCUUAACAGGAGCAAUGUUUUAGAACUCUAGCAAUGGAAAUUCUCAUCUGGUCACGUCUUUGCAGCACAGACCCAAAAAUAGUAUGAUAGGACUCUUUCACAGGAAAAGUUCAUGUCCUUGAGUAAUUUUUGAAGUGAUGUUUUUCAGGUCUGUGCAGUCUCACUAAGAUUUCUUUUGUGGAGGAAAGAUGAAACAGACUUUGGAAAGAGACACCAUACUCAAAAGGGAGAAAGUAUGCACACACAAUGCAAGCAUUAGGCAUAAAACAAAAUCCAGAAAGACUGCAUAACGAAGAGUAAGUUGCAAAGCCACUACGAUACUUUGGAAAAUGUGAAAAGAUUUGGGGGUCAAUUACUUUGCAUAAAAUUGUUCUAUAUACACAGAGAUGUUCUGAUAUUCUCAUAGGUAAAUCACUACAUAAAUAAAGUUGUCUUUAAAAUGACUGACGAACAGGCCUUAAUAUCGUAGGUAAACAGUCCUGAUACAGAAAAAUAGAAAACAUUGUGAUAAGAAUUCUAUCAAAGUGGUGUUUGUAAGAGCUAGGUAACCCUGGCAAAGAGGACAUACAUCACUUAUCUCCUAGUCCAUUCUCUUCUCUACUCUCUCUAAAAU